GAUGAACGCUGGCGGCGUGCCUAAUACAUGCAAGUCGAGCGAACGGACGAGAAGCUUGCUUCUCUGAUGUUAGCGGCGGACGGGUGAGUAACACGUGGAUAACCUACCUAUAAGACUGGGAUAACUUCGGGAAACCGGAGCUAAUACCGGAUGAUAUUUUGAACCGCAUGGUUCAAAAGUGAAAGACGGUCUUGCUGUCACUUAUAGAUUGCUCCGCGCUGCAUUAGCUAGUUGGUAAGGUAACGGCUUACCAAGGCAACGAUGCAUAGCCGACCUGAGAGGGUGAUCGGCCACACUGGAACUGAGACACGGUCCAGACUCCUACGGGAGGCAGCAGUAGGGAAUCUUCCGCAAUGGGCGAAAGCCUGACGGAGCAACGCCGCGUGAGUGAUGAAGGUCUUCGGAUCGUAAAACUCUGUUAUUAGGGAAGAACAUAUGUGUAAGUAACUGUGCACAGCUUGACGGUACCUAAUCAGAAAGCCACGGCUAACUACGUG
rnacentral:rRNA from 1 species